GAUGAACGCUGGCGGCGUGCCUAAUACAUGCAAGUCGAGCGAACAGACGAGGAGCUUGCUCCUCUGACGUUAGCGGCGGACGGGUGAGUAACACGUGGAUAACCUACCUAUAAGACUGGGAUAACUUCGGGAAACCGGAGCUAAUACCGGAUAAUAUAUUGAACCGCAUGGUUCAAUAGUGAAAGACGGUUUUGCUGUCACUUAUAGAUGUAUCCGCGCCGCUUUAGCUAGUUGGUAAGGUAACGGCUUACCAAGGCAAAGAUGCAGAGCCGACCUGGAAGGGGGGGAGGGCAAAAUGGGAAAGGGAAACGGGUCAAGACCAGGCGGGAAGGAGGAGGAGGGGAACAUUGGAAAAGGAGGAAAGGCGUGAAGAGGAAAGGCGGGGGGGGGAAGAAGGGUGUAGGAAAGUAAAACUCAGUUGAGAGGGAAGAAAGGGGAGGAAAGUGAAAAGCUCAUGAAGUGACGGUAACUACACAGAAAGGGACGGCUAACUACGUG
rnacentral:rRNA from 1 species